rnacentral:sRNA from 1 species
CUCAUCAUCAUCGCCG